GCCUGUACUGCAUGGAGAGGGAUGAGAACCUUCGACCAGCGUUCGCGUCGGGCACCGCGAGACAACGCGCAUUAGCGCGGCCCGUAGGGUGAGGCGCAACGCGCCGAAUCAUCCUUCUCCCACCACCA
rfam:Pantoea stewartii subsp. stewartii DC283 WGS_Sequence16, whole genome shotgun sequence.